CUUGGUCAUUUAGAGGAAGUAAAAGUCGUAACAAGGUUUCCGUAGGUGAACCUGCGGAAGGAUCAUUAUCGAGUUAGGGUCGUUCUGGCCCGAACUUCCAACCCCUUGUUUAUCACACCAUGUUGCUUUGGUGGGCCCGCUCGCUUUUGUGGGCCGCUGGAGGUUAUUGCCUCUGGCCCGUGCCUGCCAGCAGCCUUAUUAAAAUUCUUUUUUAACUGUGUCGUCUGAGUAACUUUUUAAAUUAUUAAAAACUCUCAACAACGGAUCUCUUGGUUCUGGCAUCGAUGAAGAACGCAGCGAAAUGCGAUAAGUAAUGCGAAUUGCAGAAUUCAGUGAGUCAUCGAAUCUUUGAACGCAUAUUGCGCCCUUUGGUAUUCCGAAGGGCAUGCCUGUUCGAGCGUCAUUAUCAACCAUCAAGCUUGGCUUGUUGUUGGACUUAUUGGCUGGGUGACACCCUGACCGGUCCGAAAGAUAAUGAACGGGUGCUCAGCGGCCUUGGAUGCAACGAGCUUUCUAAGCACGCAUUGAACGGUCGUGAGGCCCGGUCUUCUCUAUUAUUUUUCUAUGGUUGACCUCGGAUCAGGUAGGAAUACCCGCUGAACUUAAGCAUAUCAAUAAGCGGAGGA
rnacentral:rRNA from 1 species